rnacentral:rRNA from 1 species
UACGUAGGGGGCAAGCGUUGUCCGGAUUUAUUGGGCGUAAAGAGCGUGUAGGCGGCCACACAGGUCUGCUGUGAAAACUCGAGGCUCAACCUCGAGCUGUCGGUGGAAACCGUGUGGCUAGAGUCCGGAAGAGGCGAGUGGAAUUCCUGGUGUAGCGGUGAAAUGCGCAGAUAUCAGGAGGAACACCGAUGGCGAAGGCAGCUCGCUGGGACGGUACUGACGCUGAGGCGCGAAAGCGUGGGGAGCAAACAGG